GAUGAACGCUAGCGGCAGGCCUAAUACAUGCAAGUCGAGGGGUAGAGGUUGCUUGCAACCUUGAGACCGGCGCACGGGUGCGUAACGCGUAUGCAACCUACCUUCAUCAGGGGGAUAGCCCGGAGAAAUCCGGAUUAACACCGCAUAAAAUCACAGUACGGCAUCGUACAAUGAUCAAACAUUCAUGGGAUGGAGAUGGGCAUGUGUGCCAUUAGCUAGUUGGCGGGGUAACGGCCCACCAAGGCUUCGAUGGCUAGGGGAUCUGAGAGGAUGGCCCCCCACACUGGUACUGAGCGACGGACCAGACUCCUACGGGAGGCAGCAGUAAGGAAUAUUGGUCAAUGGGCGCAAGCCUGAACCAGCCAUGCCGCGUGCAGGAAGACGGCCCUCCGGGUUGUAAACGGCUUUUAUUCGGGAAUAAACCUGUCUACGUGUAGACAGCUGAAUGUACCGAAGGAAUAAGGAUCGGCUAACUCCGUGCCAGCCGCCGCCGUAA
rnacentral:rRNA from 1 species